rnacentral:lncRNA from 1 species
GUCUAUUAUCUAGACAAAAUCUUGAUCUAUUCUAAGAAUCCAGAAGAACAUUAAGUUCAUGUUUGUUGUGUGUUACAAAAAUUAAGAGAUGUAGGACUUUAUGCCAAGAUAGAAAAGUGUGUGUUCCACACUACUCAAGUUGAUUUCUUAGGUUACAUUAUUUCAAAUGAUGAACUUAUAAUGGAUCCUAAGAAAGUUCAAACUAUUAUAGAUUGGAAGAUUCUAAAAAUGGUAAAAGAUGUCCAAUGUUUUUUAGAAUUUGCCAACUACUAUUGGAUCUUCAUCAAGGACUUCUCUCGACUUGCAGCUCCACUUACAUGUUUGACUUGUAAAAACUAACUCCAAUGGAAUCAAGAAGUGGAAGUUGCUUUUGAAUCUUUGAAGACAACGUUUGUUUCUGCACCAAUCUUGUAUCGUGUUGAAUUUUCUAAAGUAUUCUUUAUGGAAACAGAUGCAUCAGACUUUGCUCUGGGUACAGUUUUAUUACAAAUAGAAACAGAUGACAAACUUCAUUUAGUAGCCUUUCAUUCAAGAAAAUUCUCAACAGUAAAAAUCAAUUAUGAGAUCCAUAACAAAGAACUUCUUGCAAUCGUGGAUUCUUUUCAAGAAUGAUGUCAUUAUCUAGAAGGGACUUCCAGUCCACUCACCGUGUAUACAGAUCACAAGAAACUCAAGUAUUUUAUGUCAACACGUGUAUUAAAUCGUCGUCAAGCUCGUUGGAGCAUGUCUUUAUCAAGAUUUGAGUUCAUCAUCACUUAUCGAUCAGAAAAACAAUAAGGUUUGUCCAAUGCCUUCUCUAGAUGUUCUUAUCUUGCACCAAAAGAAGGAGAUGUAGCUUAUGAGCAACAAAGAAUGGUUCUCUUGAAGCCGGAGUAAUUUCAUCUUUGAGCAAUAAAAUCAACAUUGACUGUUGAUUUAACUUUUCUUAAGCAAGUCCAGUUAAGUAUGUCUUCAGUCCCUCUUGUUCAUGAUAUCAAGAAUAAUUCUUCUAAAUCUCAUGAUCCCUCUAAAUUUGAAUUCAAGAACAACCUACUCUAUUUCGAAGGACGCCUAUAUAUUCCAGAAAGAGAAGCACAUUUACGUAUUCUUCAAGCUUGUCACGACUUCUCAGCAACAGGAUAUUUUGGAUAUAAUAAGACUUUGGAACUGAUAUCUAAGGAUUUUUGGUGGCCUCAAAUGUAGAAGGCAGUCAAAGAUUUUGUACAAUCAUGUGAUGUUUGCUCAAGAUCAAAAACUCCUCGUCAUUGAUCUUAUGGACUUGUUCAGCCAUUACCCAUUCCAGAACAACCAUGGUCUUCUGUUUCUAUGGACUUCAUCACGGAUCUUCCAAUCUCAGGUUCUUAUGACUCUAUAUUCGUGAUAGUAGAUCGUUUUAUCAAGAUGGCACAUUUUGUACCAUGUACAAAAUCUAUCACAGGUGAAGAAACAGCUAAGCUCUUUCUUGACAAUAUCUAUUGCUAUCAUGGAUUAUCUAAGGAUAUUAUAUCAGAUAGGAGAACUCAAUUUGUAUCAAGAUUUUGGUGGACUCUUUUCAAGUUUCUAAAAGUGGAUAUAAAACUAUCUUCGACAUUCUAUCCUCAAAUUGAUGGACAAACAGAGCGUGUUAAUCAAGUUUUGGAGCAAUAUUUAAGAUGUACCAUUAACUACCAACAAGAUGAUUGGACAACUCUUUUGUCAUUGGCAGAGUUUGCUCACAAUAACACGAUACAUUCUUCUACAAAACAAACACCUUUCUUUGCCAAUUAUGGUUAUUAUCUAUGAUUUGAUACUUUUGACUUUUCAAAAGUUGAUAAUCUUGCUAAGAAAGAUUUGGCAAUUCAUUUAUCAGAGUUACAUGCAACGAUGAAGGUGUAGUUAAAAGAGGCUCAAGAACAACAAAAAGUCAAUGCAGAUGUCUAUCGAAAGGAACAACCAUCAUUCGUCUUGGGUGAUAAGGUAUGGCUACUUCGUCAUAAUAUCAAGACCACUCGUACUUAAAAACAAGUUGGACUAUCGAAGACUUGGACCAUUUUCUAUUUCUGCACAAAUCCAUUCAGUUGCAUAUAAUUUACAUCUACGGAAGUCAAUGAAAAUCCAUCCAAUAUUCCACGUGUCUCUUCUUAAACCAUACAAGAUAAUGGACAUACCAAAAAGAUGACAAGCUCCACCUCCUCCUAUAAAAGUGGACAAUAAUGAAGAAUUUGAAGUAGAAGAAGUCUUAGAUUCAAGGCGGCGCCAAAAUAAAUUGGAAUAUCUUAUCCAUUGGCACGGAUAUGAUAUUAGUGAACGCACAUGGGAGCCAAUAAAAAAUAUUACAAAUGUAGCAAAGGCGGUAGAGGCUUUUCAUCGACGACAUCUAUCAAAAAUAAGAUGAAAACCUUCUUUGUAAAAGAAACAACAUUUAGGCAAGAUAACAUUCUAUUUUCAAUUCUUGUUUAUAGUUUCUUUAUAGUUGUGAUGCUCAAGAGAUGGAGAACCAACAACCAGCGGAUUCGAUUCAAGAGCCUUCAUUUGUUGACCUACCGGAUGAGACAUUACGAUUGUCACAACCUUCAAGAUAAUGUAAUCAAAAUGAAGAUCUUGAAGAACGACAUGUUCUUCCUCGAAUAGAUGGCGAGAUACAAUGCGUUUGGUAUCACGAUUUGGGAAGGGACUCCCGAUGUUUGGUGAUUUUGCUAGAGGUAGGAACAACUCUUGAUGGUGUUCCAAAUGUUCUAUUCGAAGGAAGUUAUGAAGGCCUCAACAAUGAUCAAAUAAUUGGGUGGUCUUCCCGCCCUAGUAUGGGACACUGCUGAUGGUUGAGAGGCCCUAUCAAUCAUCUUUGAAGAGAACAAAGAUCAGAGUAUGUCGCAAAUAUAAUUCGUUGCAUCAUAGAUUUCUUCAACAUAUGAUCACCGCUCCUCAUGGAACUCGUUCCUAGAAGAGGUGGUAAUGUCAUGGACAUACUCAUGUAAGCUAGUAAUUACAUAUACAAAUAGAUGGAAGUAAGUAAAAGUAGGUAAAAGUAAGUUAAUUCUAUAGUAUUUAAUAUGGAAGCUUCUUAGAAGCUUCAUAGACGUUGCUUCAACUUCAUAGGUGUCUUUAAUUGACUUUUUGGAUUAGAAACGUGGUUAACAAGUUAGCCAUGUGCCACACAUGUUGUUAGCUUAAAGAUCAAGCUAACUAUAUGGCCCACACGUAGAAAAACUUGUCUUGUAAGUCAAGGCAUGUGUCCUACAAAGUCAACACAUAUUGGAGGUCCUAUAGAACGUCAUCAAGUAGUCCCUAAUUAGAUAGUAUAUAUAGAGACAAGAGUGAAGCCUUCUUCACUCUUUUUAAUUCCUUUCUUGCUUCCAGUCUAGUUUCAAGGGUCUCUAGUUUUCUUGUCUUUUGGCAAUAGCCAUUCCAAUUUCUCUUUCAAUAUACAUACUUUUUUAUUUAUAUUUUGUUACCUUUCUUUGAGUGAAGGCUCACUUGAUUGAAUUGCUUUUUCAUCGAGUUCUUGUCCUUGACAACAAGAUAUUUCAACCUAUUUUGGCACUACCUACAAUAUAAUACUUCUUCUACUUCAAACUCUUGAUUAUUAUCUAAUUUUAUAUGAAGUUGUAAUAUUUGUUUUUUUUUCUAAGUUUAAAACUAACAAGGCUAAAUUUUUUUUAUUUUUUGAUCCUAAAAAAACUUCUAUUGUACAAGAAGGUAAGAGAUUUGAAGAGAAAAUAGGACCUUUAUUAAAAAUUAUUUAAAAUUCUAGCCACAUAGUAUUAUUUAGUAAUAUAGCCAUUAGGUGAAAGAAGAAAGAAAAUAUUUUAUUAUAGAAGAAUCUAAUUAAAAAUAUAUAAUAAAAAAACAUAGAUAAAUGAUAGGCAAGUAAUAAAAUCCAUUAAUAUUAGAAGUACAUUAUACAAAAAUAAAUUCUAUUUAUUUUGUGGAGCCAUAAAUAAUACAAAACAAGAUAGAUUUAAAAAGUAAAAUAUAUAAGUAUAUAUAAAAUAAAAUUAGGAGUUUAUUUUAGCAAAUAUUACUUUAAAAAGAUAAGAAUUGAUAUCCAAAGAGGACCAAUUGCCAACUAAGAUCAAUAUCAAACUCUAAGGUACAAAACCGAGUACAUAUAUUGACUUUGAGGUUCUUUUGGAAAUUAAAAUAAAGAAAUUUGAAAGCUAACUUGAAGAGAGAUUUUUGAGUGUUGAUUUUAUGUCAAUUUCAUUAAUAUUGAGAUUUUAAAGAAUUUUCAAAGUUAGUAAUGUACUCAAUAGAUUUAGAUUUAAAAAAAUAAAAAUAUGUUUAUAAAUUUAAGAAUUUCUUGAGUUUCAUAGCAUAUAUACAAGUGAAAUUUAGGUAGUUUGUUUUUGUACUUAUUAUGGAUGUAUAUGAAAAACUUGAGGUCAAUCAAAUAGUUAGAUUGAAGCAUAUGAGGGAUUUUGUGGAUUAUGGAUUCAAAAAUUUGAAAUUUAGGAUUAGUGGGGGAUUUUAAGAUUUAGCAAUAUGUGCUAAUUGGAUUCAAGAAAAAUUUGAUUAAAAAAAUUAAGGCUUGAAUACUUACACAUAACCUAAUUUUUGGAACAAUUGAAUAGUUAAGUAAGGAGAAAUUGGUAUUGAAAGAUCAAUAUUCAAAUCAAAGAAGAAAGUCAGCUAAUGAUUAAGAGAUUUUGGGAGUUUUGUAUUCUAUUGAUAUGUGCAAUCUUCUUCAAAUAUUUUAUACUUAUUACUUACUUAUUUAUUGCAAGAUAUGCAAACUUUGAAUAAUAAUCAAUAAUUCAAUCAUUAGUUAUUAGUAUUAACUAAGUAUUAUACAAGGUUCUAACUGCAUGGUCUCUAUUGUAGCUAGAAAAACUUGUUUUCGAACAUACUAUCUUCUUUUAUAGUUGUACUUCUCAUUUUAUAGUUGUGUCACUUCUUUGGAUAAUAUUGAGCAAUAUGCUUAGGUUUUCUAUAAUACAAGUAUAAUCUUUUUUAACAAAAAAAUGACUUUUUUUUUUUUCAAUAAGAGGUUUAAAACAUAUCAUAUCAAUUUACAUAUUCUCUACUUUUAAAUGUAUUUAUUGAAAAAAAAUUGGUGUUGCCAUUGAAUUAUAGUAAUUUUGAUGCGCACUUAUGCAAUUCUAAAAUUAAAAGUCAUAAAAUUGAUUGUGACACUUCAUAAUAAAGUCAAUUAUUUGACUCAAUGUUUGAGGAUGCUCUACAUAGGAGAAGAGACAUGAUUUGAUACAGAUAUUAAAGUAGCUCUAAUCUUUUCUAUAUUUUUGCUUUCUACCAUUCUUGUUGCUCUUUUUAGUGAUAAAUUUAAUUGAUGCAUCAUAAGCAUUUAAUCUCUCAAUUAUUCUUGCAUUUGUGCCAUUAUAUUCUUCAUUUUAAGAAGUUUUGCCAUGAUAAUACUUAGAAAAGAAAAGAAAAGAUGUCUAAUAUUGCUCAAGAAAAAUAUAAGAAAGGACUUGAAAACAAAAAAAAAAUACUAAAGACAAUAUUACUUUAAAAGAAGGUAAUUUGAAACUUCUAAUAUGCUUAAGUCUUAUUAAGAAAAAGAAAUAAUCUAUUCUUAACCAAGAAAAUAUAAAGCUUUGAUAUUGUAAGUGUAUUCUUAUCAAUCUAUCAAGGACAAGAACCCAAUGAAAGAAAAUUAUCAAGUGAAAAUUUUUUCAAAGAAAUAUGAUAAAAUAGAAGUAACAAAAUAUGUAUAUUAAAAAUAAAUAAAUAAAUAAAUAAAUAAUAGAAUGGCUAUUGCAAAAAAGAUAAGAAAACUAAAAACUCUGGAAUCUAUAUUAGAGCAAGAAAGGAGUUGACAAGAAUAAAGGAGGCUUUAUUCUUGCUUCUAUAUAUACUAUCCAUCUAGAAGCUAUGUAGCAACGUUCUAUAGACCUCCAACAUGUGUUGACUUUGCAAGCCACAUGUCUUAAUUUGCAAGGCAAGUUUUAACUAAGUGUACCACAUAAUUAACUUGUUACACAAGCUAUCUAUACAUAUGAUACAUGAUUAACUUAUUGACCAAGUUUCUAACUUAAAAAUAAAAUAUAAACACUUGUAAAGUCAAAAUUAUGUCUAUGAAGCUUCUAAGAAGCUUUUCUAAAAGAUAUUAUAAAAAUAUCUACUUUUAUCCAUUUCUAUUUAAUCAUAUGGAUAAUUAUUAAAAUAAGUAUGUAUAUUUGUAACAAUUAUUACUCUUCUCAAAUUAUCAAGGACAUGAAUCUUGAAGAAGUAAAAGAUCAUAACUUUCUUGUAUCACUUGAAAAGACUAGAUAAUUAUUUAAAGAUGAUAUAAUAAUGAAUUAAAAUAUCUAGUGCCAAAGACGAGAAGAUUAGAAAGACUUGAAACAAGACUAAGGACUUGAAAGGCAUUGACAAGAGUGAAGAAGGGUUCAUUCUUGCCUCCAUAUGUACUAUCUAACUAAGAGGUACGUCGUGAUAUUCUAUAAGAUCUUAAAUACAUAUUAACUUUGCUAAACACAUGUUUUAACUUACCAAGCAAUUUUUCUAUAUGUAUGCCACAUAAUUAGCUUUUUUUUGCAAGUUAAUAAUACAUGUGAUAAGUAGCUAACUUAUUAACCAAGUUUCUAACCUACCAAUUAACUACAAAUACAUAUUGUUGAGAAAAUAACUCUUUAAGUAGUUGCUAAUGGUCAAUAGAGUACAAGUAUUGUUAAGAAUAUUCCAUAAGGUUAGGUGCUGGUCUAUAGUACAUUAGAGUACAAGGGGAGGACUGGUCCUAGAAGAUAUCCCAUAUGGGUUGUAGCACUUGGUACCUUGGUACUAGUAUAUAAGGAAAGGGUUGGCAUGAGAAGAAUUAUCUCAUACCACACUCUAUUUGUUAUAGUGCAACCUUGCUGGUCCUAACUUACUCGUGUGGAGUAUGUUUUCUAUGUUUCAAUAGGUUAUGGGCCCACAUUCUCUUACCAAGUAAGUUGUUCUUGCAUUAUUUCUUUGUUGCUUGUUUUUUGGUGGUUGAGAUCUUAUGGUAGAGUAUUGCUAGUAAAUUGUUGAAGUCAAUGCUUAGUGCAAGACCUUGAUAGUGUCUUUGCUUAAGGAGUACUAGUAUUUGAGAGUUCUAUGAGAAAGUGAGUCAUUUUGAGUGAAGUGACGUGAGAGAGACGUUUGAAAGUCAUAAAAUCACAUUACAAACCAUUCCCUAUCAUUUAGACGUAAUUUGGACUCAAAAUAUGUAAAAAGUUGCAAAACAGCGAAUUCUGGGUUUGUAGUUCAGCAAUCUUUAAGUAGUCAUAUCUUUUGCAUUACAACUCCAAAUCAAGAGUUUUUUGGACCUACUUGUAGCUUGAGAUGGCAUCUUUUGAGGGUGAUAGCUUAAGAGUUGUUGAAAAGUUUAGAGGUGACAACUUUCACCACUGGAAGGCCAAAAUGGAGCUACUUUUGGCAUCAUUGGAUCUUUGGGAGAUAGUAGAUGAGGAAGAACUUGCACUUGGGGUAGAGGCAAGCAUCAAGGACCAAAAGGACUUCAAAAGACGAGAAAAGAAGGCUUUUGGCAUAAUUACCACCAAUUUAGAUGAAAGCAACUUUGCUCAUGUCAUUUCUUGCAAAGGGGCAACAGAUGCAUGGAAGACUCUUUGCAAUGUCUAUGAAAGUAGGAAUCUUUCCAAUGUGCUAUGGUCAAGGCAAAAAUUCUUCACCGUGAAGAUGGAAGAAGGUGAAGAUCUCAUGGCUCAUGUGAAUAAGGUAAAAGCACUUGCAAACCAACUUGUUGUUGUUGACAAGCCUUUACUUGAAGAAGAUGUUGUGAUGACAUUGCUCUCAAGCCUUCCGGACUCCUAUUCCUCCCUCAUUGUGGCAUUGGAGUCCAUUUCAAGGAAAGACCUCACUUUGGACUAUGUCACAGCAAGAUUAGCCCAUGAAGUGACCAAAAGAAAGCAAAAGGAGUCUAUUGGGGAGCAAUCAGUACUAUUUACAAGACCAAGUAAGGCAAGUGCCCCUUUUCAACGUUAUCCUCCUAAAACUUGUUAUAUUUGUGGAAAACCAGGCCAUUUUGCUAGAAAUUAUUUCAAGACAAAGAGAGGAGAAAGAGAGAAUGCCAACAAUGCUUUUCAUGACCAUGGAGGUGAAGACUUUGCAUUCAUGGCAAAACAAACUCCUUCCAUGUUUGAUAUGAGCAAAUGGAUUGUGGAUUCUAGAUGUACUAAACACAUGACUCCAUACAAGUGUUCAUUUAACACUUAUCAACCAAUUCCAGCAACCAAGGUUUGGUUAGGUGAUAAUUGUAUGGUACAAGCCAUUGGAAUGGGCACCAUUGUAGUAGACGUGGUGGUAAAGGGCAUAAGCAAGAGAAUCACUCUCAAGGAUGUGUUGCAUGUGCCAAAGAUGAAGAAGAACUUCCUUUCGGAGAGUAAACUUGUAACUCAUGGGUACAAAGUGCAAUUUAAUAUGAAUGGAUGUUUUGUGAGAACCAUGGAAGGCAAAGAAGUAGCAAAAAGGACUAGGGAUGGCAAUCUCUAUAAUAUCAAUUGCAAGAGGAUCAAUGGAGUGGAGAUUGCUGCCUUUGCUGAAUUUCCAACAAAUGAAGACAAGGUGGACAUUUGGCAUCAAAGACUUGGGCAUUUGAAUGUCAAAAGCAUGAAGGGGCUUUAAUCCAAGGUAAGUGGCAUAGACCUUGGCCAUUCUACCAUUAAUCUUGCUUGUGAGGGAUGCAUUCAAGGCAAACAACAUAGGACACCAUUUCCUAGAAGAGUUGCAACAAGAGCAAACCAAUUGCUGGAGCUUGUGCAUUUGGAUGUUUGUGGAUCCAUGAGGACACCAUCUAUGAGUGGUAGUAAAAAGUGGGAGAUGUGUCCAAGUGGGAGUAGUGGUGUGUUUGUGGACACAUCUUCAAUUCCAUCAAACAAACAAGAAGAUGAAGAAGAGCAUUCUCCAAGUGAAGAAGGAGAAGAAGAUGCCAUGAUAGAAGAGCCCAAUACUAUGAAGACUUCAAUUCUAGCAAGAUACAACAAGGACAAUGAAGAGAAUGAAGAUGAAGAAUACCAACCAAUGAGUAAGAGAAAGAAUUCCAUAAGCCAUACAAGGCAGCAAGAGGUGCAUGAAGGCUCAUCCUCUUUGCAUGAAAGAAGAUAUCCAACACGUGAGAGAAGACCACAAGGUGAAUGGUGGAAGAACCACAUCUUUCCACAAGUAAGUGAAGACCAUGCCAAUGUUGCUCUUUUUGAUGAUCCAUUGACUUUGUGUAAUGCAAUGAGGUGUGGUGAUGCAAUGAAGUGGGAGAAUGCCAUGCAAGAAGAAUACAAAUCUCUUAUGGACAAUGAGACAUGAGAGUUGACUCCACUUCCACCAAAUUGUUCAGCAAUUGGAUGUAAGUGGGUGUUUAGAACCAAGAGAGAUGCAAAUGAUUGAAGGUCAAUAAUGGGCUAUGUAUUCUUUGUUGGAGUGGGAGCCAUAUCUUCGAAUUGCAAGUGACAACCAAACAUUGCAAGGUCCACAAUAGGGGCGAAGUACAUGGCAGCAAGUCAUGAAGCAAUGUAGGCAAUUUGGUUGAGGUUGUUAUUGGAAGAUAUUGGACUUGUGCAAUUGGAGGCCAUUCCAUUGAGGUGUGACAAUCAAGGAUGUCUUGCUUUUGCAAAGAAUCCAAAGGAUCAUGCAAGAACUAAGUACAUUGAUAUUCAGCAUCAUUUCAUAAGAGAGAAGAUAGAGAUGGAGGUUAUUGAUAUGAUGUAUUGUGAAACCAAAGACAUGUUGCCUGAUUUGUUGACAAAAGCCUUAGUUAGAGAAAGACACAACAAGUUGAGUAAGGCAUUAGGAUUGAUAGCUAAUUGACCAAUAGCAAAGUGGGAGUGUUGAGAAAAUAACUCUUUAAGUAGUUGCUAAUGGUCAAUAGAGUACAAGUGUUGUUAGGAAUAUUCCAUAAGGUUAGGUGCUGGUCUAUAGUACAUUAGAAUAGAAGGGGAGGGCUGGUCCUAGAAGAUAUCCCAUAUGGGUUGUAGCACUUGGUACCUUGGUACUAGUAUAUAAGGAAAGGGUUGGCAUGAAAAGAAUUAUCUCAUACCACACUCUAUUUGUUAUAGUGCAACCUUGCUGGUCCUAACUUACUUGUGUGGAGUAUGCUUUCUAUGUUUCAAUACAUAUAAAGUAAAAACAACAUCUAUAAAGCUUUUAGGAAACUUCUUUGGAAGACAUUAUAAAAUUAUUCUAUUUUAUCUACUUCUACUUAAUCAUAUAAAUAAUUAUUGGAGUAAAUAUGUAUGUUUGGAUAAUUUCAUUAAUUUUAGAAUUUGAAAGAUAAAUUACUUGAUAGUUUUUGUGUGAAGAGAGACUAAAACUUAAAAAAGUAACCAAUAAAUUUUAUCAAAAACUAUAAGAAGAUAGUGAGCUAGAAAGUGUAUGAUUCUUCAAAAGAAUAAUUGAGCCAUUUAAGAAUUCUACUAACACAUUGAUUAUAAUGAUUUGAAAAGUACAAAUAAAAAAACUUCAAAGAAUUAUACUACCAUUUUUUCCAAACUACUAUUACUAGUUUUGUUUAGAAUGCAUUAGAAGGUGUGUUCUUCUAUAUGUUGUUUAAUUUGAAAUUCAUUCUUCUAGCCCAUUAUCCUCCAAUUCUAUCGCUUGUUAUUGCAAAUCACAGUAUACAAUCCUAAACCGUAAAGAAUGGCAUGGGUUUCUACUAAUAAAUAAUCCAUGAACUAAACACCACAAUUAUCAUCCAUUUCGUCAUAUUCAUCCAUCCACCCCUCUAUCGUGCACUUUGACUUGGAAGCAGGAUGUGUUUUCAGAGGCAUUCCGUGGAGAAGAAGAUUGCGGAGCAGUUGAAGGGGUUUAGCCGUGGGACACGAGGGCACGAGGCCUACAUGCUUUUGCCGUGCCGGUGAAGCAACAGUGAGGGCGUCGCGGAGCAGGGGUGGAUCACAUCGCAGCUUGCGACGAUCGAAGCCGGAGGCGAUACUGUCCUGUGAUCGUCGUGCGCCUAUUUCUAUGCGUUGGAUUCGUUCUCGUCGUUGCUGCCAGCCAUAGGGGAGUUCUCGACCGUCGUUUGCACUCCUGUUCGGUUUCCCUGCAGUUAAUUUAGGGUGAGUGCGGCAGUUCUCGUGGCGAUUCAGGCCGAUCGAGGGAUUUCGUAGCCAUUGCUGUGAGAAAUGGCUACAGGUAGCCGGGCGAGAGGUGUGGCGACAUUAGGGUUUAGGGUGCUGGCCGUGUCUACUCGAUCUGUGAAUGGUAGAUUUUCUUCUGCGUCGGGUUCCCCGUCUUCGCGAUUGCUCUCGGGUUUUUCAGGUCAAGUGGAAGACAGUUUAGCGAUCAGAACCUUGGGAAAUUGGACACCAGUGCGGGGGUUUAAGAGUGGGAGAGAUGACCCUAGUUUUAGGUAUGAGAUGUCUCCGCCCACGAAUUGGGGCGUGCGAAUCGUUCCGGAGAAGAGCGCGUUCGUGAUCGAGCGGUUCGGGAAAUACUUAAAGACUUUAGGAUCAGGUUUGUUGUCAAUUGAUCAUGUUCUCAGCAUUUAUCAUUAUCAAUUUGGUCGGUGAUAGUUAGGGUCUACAGGUGCAGAGUUUCUGUCUGUUGAUACUUCGUGGGUUACACACUGAUGUAAAGAUAUAUCUCAUCAGUUUCUCGAAAAGCCUCACAUUCUGUGAACGAUACUCCCGUUUUUUGACAAUGCUUUAAGCUGACGAUUGAGCUUACAUUCAAUCGGUGAUAUGAAAUCAAGGUUCUGACCGAAGAAAUGUUGGGGCAGGUAUUCAUGUGAUGAUACCAUUGGUGGACAGGAUUGCUUAUGUGCAUUCCUUGAAAGAGGAAGCCAUUCCUAUUCCAAAUCAGAGUGCCAUCACGAAAGAUAAUGUGAGCAUUUCAAUUGACGGAGUUUUAUAUCUCAAGAUAGUUGAUCCUAUUCGGGCUUCGUAUGGAGUGGAAAAUCCAAUCUAUGCUAUCAUUCAGGUAUCAAACUGUGCAUCUUCUUUUUCUCCAUUUGCAUGCCAGCCUCUUAGUCAGCAGUAUUUAGGCUUCUUGUCCUAAGUUUUCCUAUUAGGAAACGUAUACGAAGAACUAUAAUUUUCACAGGGCUUGUGUCUAGUUAUGAACCAACGUGUGUGCACAAUUUCAUCUUCUGCUGUUUUUGAGUAGAAUAUGUAAUAUCUCUUAGAUGUCUGGAUGCGUUUUGGUGAAUAAUGUCCCUGCCAUAGGCCUCUUCGUUUCAAAAUGCAAUUGGGGGUCAUGAUUUAUUUAAUAACGGUGAUUUUUAUUGGAUCCAGCUCGCGCAAACAACUAUGCGAUCUGAGCUUGGGAAAAUUACUCUUGACAAAACGUUUGAGGAGAGAGAUACACUUAAUGAAAACAUCGUCAAGGCGAUUAACGAGGCUGCUUCAGACUGGGGCCUCCAGUGUUUGCGGUACGAGAUUCGAGACAUAUCUCCACCUCCGGGUGUGAGGGCAGCUAUGGAGAUGCAGGCUGAGGCAGAGCGACGAAAGAGAGCACAGGUUCUCGAGUCCGAAGGAGAGCGACAGUCUCACAUCAAUAUUGCCGAUGGAAAGAAAAAUUCAGUAAUUUUGGAAUCCGAGGCAGCAAUGAUGGAUCAGGUAGACGCGUAUUUUGGUUCCCUCACCCGACUCAAUUUUACUUCUUGAUCUGAAAUAAAUGAUAUAGCAAGAUUCAGAUGUUUGUUCCUUCUUUCUUUUAGUGUCUCGAUUUCUGGCUAAAGAGAUUGGUUAAAGUAGUGGCUGCACUACAAUGGGACGAAAUCUCAUGGCAAUUUAUGUUUUAAUUUAGCGAGUAAUAUAUUUUGCUAUCAGGUGAACCGAGCCAAAGGAGAGGCGGAUGCUAUACUAGCCCGCGCCGAAGCAACUUCGAAGGGUAUCCAGUUGCUGUCACAGGCUAUCCGUGCUGAAGGAGGAUCCGAGGCUGCAUCUCUUCGUGUGGCAGAACAGUACUUACAGGCCUUCAGUCAGCUUGCAAAAGAAAGUACAACAAUGCUUCUUCCCAGUAAUGCUUCUGAACCAGCUGCUAUGAUAGCUCAAGCGUUGUCAAUUUACAAAGGUAUUGUUGGAGUAGAUGGUGUCUCUACUCGGAUGUCGCCUGAUGGUGGGCCUAAACCGAAGGAUCAAUCUUCGGGCCCUUGGAAGCCCACCCCUUUAGAUUCUGAAAAGGAUAAGAUUGGUCAGGAUCCUACUCGAGGUGCAUCAGAUAUCAACCGAGAACCACCUGUUCCCCGGAACUUCAGCCUUCAGACUCCGGCUUAAAGUGUUAGUGCUGCGUCACACGAGAAAACAACAUAUGCUUAUCGAAUUUAACCAUGUGUUCAAUUUCAGUAGAUUCCGCAGUGAAAGGUCAACCGUCGAGAACACAAGGACCAGGUUUUGUGAGAAUGGAUUGGUGGCUAGGUUAGGUAUUCAAAGGAAUGAGUUGCUGGAGCUAUGUUGGAGAAGUGCCCAUCCACUUGAUUGGAGGGCAAAUUUUGAUAUGACAGAUAUCACAAGUUAGGAUUUACCCUCAUGAUCUGUACCUAGAAACAUAUGUUCGUCAGUACCUCAUAAGUGGACUGUUAAUUUCAACCUGUAUACAUGUUACCGCCUCAUUUGAUGAGCUUGGAUAUUGGCCAUACGUGGUUUUUGGAGGUAGUAUUUGGUUCCUUAUGCAAUUCUUGUGCUAUUAGCUUGUUCCAUUGAGGUGUAAGACAAGAAGGUUUUUCUAUGAGGUGUAGCAAUCACGUCUCGACGUAGAUUAAACCUAUUGCCCAGGAAUUACAGAAAUGGGAACUGCAGAUUGUGCCUCUGGCGCAGGCUGAGUUGAGAAAUGGAAAUUGCUGGAUGAGAGUGAGCUUUAUCAAGCUCAGCUUGUCUUAUGCCAGAUUCCCUAAGCUAAUUAGACCUAAAAUCGUAUGUGGAGCCUUUGUGGCACAAAAAUGGUGAGUCGAAAGGAAAUCCUAAAGCUCAAAAUAGCUUUAGGAUUUCUGAAAACUCUAAAGGUAUGCGAUGUAUUCACUGUUCUGUGUUGUGUGAUCUGCAUACACUGCUGGCAUCUACAUGUGGUGGUUGUUUGGGUUUAUAAUUUGUGUGUCUUGAGUUUUGUGUGUGUAUAUAUAUAUAUAUAGGGAGAGAGAGUGAGAAGUAUAAAAGUAUUAAUUACUUUACCACUUGUGAUUGGAAGAUAACCCAAAACAUCUCAAACGUCGAAUAAACCACAUACGAAAUAAGCCAGAUACUGAUGAGCACGGAUAAGAAAUGAUUCAAGUAAGAUGUCAUUCUAUUUUCAUUUUCGUUUUGUAUGCAUUGAAUAAAUCAUUGAAUGCCAUCUCAAAAACUUUCAUCACCGUUGUUCUCAUCACCAUGCAAACUACGGAAUACAUAAUCAUAAGCACUAAUUUAUAUACUAAAGAGUAAAUUGCACUUCGAUUCAGAAUCAACCACCACUUACGAGUAUUUUAUAGUUUUUCUAUGUUGUGUUGUUUUCUUAAUUUAUCACAUCAACUGUAAACUCAAAUCAAUGGAUUUCAAAGCAAUAUGAAAAACAAUCGAGAUCAAGGCAAGUGCAUGUGUACGUGCAUACAGAUAUAUAUAUAUAUAUAUAUUUUUUUUAUAUAUAUUUAUUUAUUUAUUUAUUUAAAUAUUCAUUUAACAACUUUUCAUGUUGCAACGUUGAAUGCAGUAGCGUGGUGAAUUUUUCAAAAUAUAAUCACCACAAUAGAAACUGCAUAAUAUUCUUGAAACAUGGUUACAACAAGUCUAGUUCUAAUGUGUUCAAUGUGUUCUAACAAAUCUAGGUAGAGUGGACUACUUUUUCUCAAGUUUGAAAAUGUUAUGAUUGUUUUACAUGUUCAAAAAAAUAUAAUAUAAGCCAAUAAAAAAAAAUAUCAUUUCUUCAUGCAAUAAUUGAAAGAAUUAGCCCCGCUUUAUAUUUUUGACUAAAAAAAUACAUACAGAUUUAUAAAUUUUAUGAAUCCAAAAGGAACAAAUUAAUACUAACAUGAAACACAUAAUCCUCCAUAUUUUAUGAUUGCAGUUCCAAAAAAGGCAGUAAAUAGCAAAAAACGAUUUUCAAAAGAGAUAUGAAAUUAUUGUUAUGGAUGAGUAAAUAAAUACAAAUAUAAAUAAUGUGUAAAGUAUCCGUUGUAUUUCAAUGCAAUGAUGACUCUAAUGCGUAAAAUAUGCAGAAUUCUCAAUCAUAUAUUUUAAUUACAUAUUGAGCACAUUAUUUUCUACAAUACACUUACAAGACACUUUUUAUUGUUGUGUUUAAGAAAAUAAGUAUAUAUCUAAUAUAUCCAACACAUUAUUUUCUAAAAUAUGAUUAUCUAAAAAACCAAAAUAGAAUAGUCUUAAUUCAUAUUUCAAGAGAAUUAAAACUCGCAAGGGUUAAAAUCAAUGAGUAACAAAGACUAAACCCUAAAUUUAGAACUGAAAGCUUCACCUUCCAGCAGAUGACACGCCAUGGAAAGGGCGCCAAACAUUGUUAAAAGCGAAGCCCGGGAAAAAAUGCAAUACCUCCCGCGCUAUGCACCAAUUUCGUGCAUAUGAAUGAAUGAAACUACGCUUAUGAAGAGUGUCAUUCAUACAUGACACCCUAAUGAAUAAAGAUGUAGAUAUGGAUGAAUGAAAUAAAUUCAUUUGUUGGUGAUGGACCAGACUAGAACUUUCAUCACCCCUGUUCCAUGAUUGGGACUGUGGAGGGAGACUCAAGCUCUCUCAUUCUCAUGCUGACGUCAGGGAAAUUAGUGUCAUCCAAUCAUUGAUCGUCGUUAAAUUUGACCUGGCCAAUCAGGCUUCUGACACGUGGAUAUGGAAAUUAAUAAAUUGAGAACAAAAAAUUAACGAGUUUUUAUUUUUUAUUUUUUCAAACUACAUCCACGGUGCUGGAUGUGACAGAAGCCGCCAAACAGAAGAAAUAAAAAGUAAAAUUAAAGUAAAUGAAAAAAGAAAUGCGAAGACUAAAGGUGAAAUGGGGAAAGGGGGAAAGAAAAGGCAGUUUGUUUGCAAAACAUACCCGCCCAGUGCUCCGCUUGAAACGUCGACUGACUGCAACUCUGACCGCAUUGCCUACCGCUGAAUAUCCACGACGCACGAACAAAACGAAAAAAAGAAAAAAAAUAAAAGAGGAAAAAUAGGAAAAGCAGAAAGGCGUGAUUCUGGCCAGAGCUCCAUCGCGGGUCGGUCUUCGCGUGUGUGUGUGUUGUGCGAGAAGGCGUCUCUCUUCCCCCGAACUACGAAACCAUACCUGCCAGAAUAGAUCGAUUAAUAGACUCGAUUGCCGAGUAAUCGUCGUUAAUCGCAGCCUCCUCGCACAUCUGUAUACCGCUCAAUUCUGGUGUCGCCGCUGCAGUCACGCUUUCUUUCGAUUCCCGUGCCUGUUCUUUACUCCUUGGCUGCUGCUCCUGCCAUUUGUGUUAUCUGAGAGGACUCGUUUUUUCCUGUGUUUUCGCUGCGUGUGCUUCGCACAACCGUUGUCGUGGUUAGAUCUGCGGUUAGUGUGUGUAGAGUUUGAUUGCCGAGCAGCAGCUGUGGGGUAUUUUGACUGCUAACGCCAAGGAUUAGCGCUCUGGCAAAUGUGGGGAGUGUGAGGGAUUUAGUGUGGAGAUAAUUUGCGGAGGUGUUGUUGAGCGCGGUUUAAAUUUUGGUGCGCGAGACGAGGGUGAUUGUGUGGGCAGUUGGUGAGGUGAGGCAGAAUGGGCAGCCCGGAGGCCACUUUAGCUGCGGUCGAGGCCGUGGGAACGCAGGAAGACGCCUUCGAGGAACUCACUGGGAACCUGCAAGGGUGGAAACGCAAGGUCCGUAGAGCUGCAAAAUCCCACGCCUUGAUUGAGAAAGUUCAGGAAUCUUGCUUGUGACAUAGGUUUCGGACGCUAAUUGGCUCCAGCAAUGUCGGCCGUUGGACCUGCACUUGUGGGAUGGUCAUGUGGUUUUGGCUAUCUUGGCUGAGGUGGAGAUUGCUUUAGAAGGCGCGCGGGUGGUGAUAUUGAAUGUGGUUGUUCAGGAUGUUGCGGGUUGCGCAUCUCAUAUGGUAGGGUAGGGUACGAAUUUGGCGAGGAGGGGUUGGGGCCAGCGUAUUCUGUCGUGUCGAGCGUGGCGGUAGAGAGCGCGAAGUUUCUGUUGAGUGUGGAAGUUGGUUUCAGGGGCAUGGGUGGUCGGUGUUGCGGUAGUUGGUAAAAAUCGAGGCGCGGGUGUAGGAAAGGUGCGUGGUAUGGUGCAGUGGGAGGCUGUAGUGCGGCGUGUAGCGGAGGAUGUGUGUUGGAAGAGGAGAGUCGUAGUUAUGUUUGGGUGGGAAUGGGUGAAGACUAGGAGGAGGGAACAUUGAGGGGGAGUAGCAGAUCGCAUCGGGAAAGGCAGAAUCCGGGUAGUUCUUGCAAUAGUUGGUGGUCAAAUUUGUAAGCUUGGUCGUUCGUGACGUGAGGUGUGCUGAUCACAUAGCGCUGUAGACCUUCCGAGUUUUUUGAGGUGCUCUCCAUUCGAGACGUGACAUCGUUGGUUACAACCCAUUUCACGAAAUUAGAGGAGCGCUUGUUGUUGCGCAAGGGAGGCGUCUUGUAUAGUUUUAUAUCUUUAUUUAUUUAUUUCACUGAUUGCAGCAAUGCAGUGAGGCGUCAUUGGGGUUUGAGAGUAUCUUUUCUGUACCCUGGGAUUGUGAUGUGGUUUGACCGUAUCUUUGCAAAAUGCAAGACUUCAUAUUCUUGCUUUCUAACUCCGGACGACGGUUGUGUAUCCUACUCAUCUUAGUUGACGAAUGUCUUCGACUCCCUCGGUCGUCGGUGAUGGUCGUAUGCCCUGCCUUGAUUGCUUGGCGGCGGUAUGCAAAAACUUUCGGUUUCCCGUGGAGGUGUCCUAGACGCAGCCUGUGCCACUUCUUAGACGCUUAUCGUCCAAGCGCAGGAUUUUUCGUUCUCUGAACACCUUCGCGCACCCGCUUAGUUCUACUGUAGGCGCACGCCACGACCACGGGAAGUUAAGCUCUAACUUCGCCUGUGGUGUUUUUCGGUCCCUGAACGCGACCCGAAUGGCGCGUGGUUGGGGUUUCGCCAACCAUCUGGUUUGGUGGACAUCCUGGGGGCUGGUCAUGCACUCCGUCGCUUCUUUUUGGAUGUCAGAAACCAAUCAUGGAGGGACUUGUUCGUUAACAGGUGUAAUAAGUGAGCAGCAUCAACGAAGCAUGACGUGAUCAUCAUGUUGCUGGGGGCUUUUCGUUUCCUGAAUAUUCUCCCAUCCUCUUUCAUCUCGUAGCUCGCGAAACUUGGGAUCCUGCGCAGACUUUGAAAUUACCUCGCUACGGGUACGAGUUUCGACGAGCUACAUUGCAAACGUUUUAGUUACUCCGCUGUUCGGACAAUUUGUAUCAGACGUCAUCCUGCGUUUAUUUUGUGUGAACCCUGCAAAGUGUUCGCCAGUGGGGGCUGGGUAUACCUUUUCACGGUUGUGGUGGCUUGAUGCCCGUUUGCGAAAUUGCGGGUAUCACAUACUGCCAUUAAUACUUAUUACCGUUACCUUGAAAAGUCGAACGUUUGAUUCAGAAAUAAACGGUUUCGCGCUCAUAUCCAAAACCUUAGAUGUAUUCUUGUUUGAGAUAUCUAUUUCCUGAUGAUACUGUUCCGAAUUGGAGCAAUCGUGCGGAUCGCGAUUAAUUCGGGACGACUUUGCGAAUGAGAAUGUAGCAUGUUAUAUAAUCUUUUUGUUGUGCUUUCUGUUGAUUAGGUCAUGAGUUGAAAUUGGUUAAGGUAAUACUGAAGCAUAGACAUAUUUUUGAUACGGUUGAACUAUCUCAUAGUGGUAUUGUCUUUUUGUGCCUACUUUAGAUGUUGAUUUCCUAUUGGUACACCUGUUAAUGCUUUGAAGGUGUCUGGGAAGAAAGGCGGCACC